rnacentral:rRNA from 1 species
UACGUAGGGGGCAAGCGUUGUCCGGAUUUAUUGGGCGUAAAGAGCGUGUAGGCGGCCUGACAGGUCUGCUGUGAAAACUCGAGGCUCAACCUCGAGAUGUCGGCGGAAACCGUCUGGCUAGAGUCCGGAAGAGGAGAGUGGAAUUCCUGGUGUAGCGGUGAAAUGCGCAGAUAUCAGGAAGAACACCUAUGGCGAAGGCAGCUCUCUGGGACGGUACUGACGCUGAGACGCGAAAGCGUGGGGAGCGAAGCAGG